UACGGGGGGUUAAGCGUUGUUCGGAAUUACUGGGCGUAAAGGGCUCGUAGGCGGCCAACUAAGUCAUACGUGAAAUCCCCAGGCUUAACCUGGGAACUGCGUGUGAUACUGGAUGGCUUGAAUUCGGGAGAGGGAUGCAGAAUUCCAGGUGUAGCGGUGAAAUGCGUAGAUAUCUGGAGGAAUACCGGUGGCGAAGGCGGCAUCCUGGACCGACAUUGACGCUGAUGAGCGAAAGCUAGGGGAGCAAACGGG
rnacentral:rRNA from 1 species